UACGUAGGGAGCUAGCGUUGUCCGGAAUCAUUGGGCGUAAAGCGCGCGUAGGCGGCCCGGUAAGUCCGCUGUAAAAGUCCAGGGCUCAACCCUGGAAAGCCGGUGGAUACUGUCGGGCUAGAGUCCGGAAGAGGCGAGUGGAAUUCCUGGUGUAGCGGUGAAAUGCGCAGAUAUCAGGAGGAACACCGGUGGCGAAGGCGGGUCUCUGGACAGUUCCUGACGCUGAGGCACGAAGGUCAGGGGAGCAAACGGG
rnacentral:rRNA from 1 species